UGGGGAAUAUUGGACAAUGGGGGAAACCCUGAUCCAGCAAUGCCGCGUGUGUGAAGAAGGCCUUAGGGUUGUAAAGCACUUUCAGUCGUGACGAUGAUGACGGUAACGACAGAAGAAGCCCCGGCUAACUCCGUGCCAGCAGCCGCGGUAAUACGGAGGGGGCAAGCGUUGUUCGGAAUUACUGGGCGUAAAGGGCGCGUAGGCGGCCAAGUCAGUCAGGCGUGAAAGCCCGGGGCUCAACCCCGGAAUUGCGCUUGAUACUGCUAGGCUAGAGAUCGGAAGAGGGUAGUGGAAUUCCCAGUGUAGAGGUGAAAUUCGUAGAUAUUGGGAAGAACACCAGUGGCGAAGGCGGCUACCUGGUCCGGAUCUGACGCUGAGGUGCGAAAGCGUGGGGAGCAAACAGG
rnacentral:rRNA from 1 species